CUUUCAUAAUUGAGAUUUUAUUGGUUGUUUUGAGGAUCAGCACACAGACAUUUCAAUCUGUACACAAUUCUUAACAUACAUACCAAAAAUCUAAAAAAUCACGUAGUUGUGAUUCUUUUCUAAAUGGUUAUUCCAGUGACUUUCCAGCUUAAAGUUUGGAGGCAUAUUUCCCUUAACAGGACAUCAAGUCCAGGGAUACCAAGAACUG